rnacentral:rRNA from 1 species
UACAGAGGGUGCAAGCGUUAAUCGGAAUUACUGGGCGUAAAGCGUGCGUAGACGGUUAUGUAAGUCGGGUGUGAAAGCCCCGGGCUCAACCUGGGAAUUGCAUUCGAGACUGCGUAGCUAGGGUACGGAAGAGGGAAGCGGAAUUUCAGGUGUAGCGGUGAAAUGCGUAGAUAUCUGAAGGAACACCAGUGGCGAAAGCGGCUUCCUGGUCCAGUACCGACGUUCAGGCACGAAAGCGUGGGGAGCAAACAGG